ACAUUUUCAAAGCCAUAUUACCUGAAUGUCACUGUGAAAUUAGGUUCUUGACCCUGCCUCUGAUCUAUGCUUAUUUUUCUACACUUUUCUCCCCUCAAUUGUCAUGCAUGGCUAUUCACUGCCGGAAUUGGUGACAUGGCUUUCUCUAAAGGGGGGCUACACUCCUCUGCAUAUCGCUGCUCUUCACAGCCACUCCAACAUCAUCCAGCUGCUCAUCGGUACCUACGGAAUCCCAGAGGAGGCUUGGCACUCAAGGCUUUGGUGACAUGUGACUCCAAAAGGUACCAUGCUGAGAGUUCACGGCAAACUGCAGAUGAAACCCAAACAAAAGAAUAAAGUUUGAAGGUCACUUAGAAGUCAGGACGCUCACGGAUUGCAAUACAAAAAAAGUAGAGGGGGAGAAAAAUACACACACACACGCACACACACACUGGCACCAGCCAAGGGUCUUGUUCAGUAAACAUGUCCAAGCUGCGUUUAGUGUGAACACCCGCUGCUUCCCCCUAUUUUCCAUGUUGGGUGGGUAGUGCAAGGUCCUUCCCUUGAUGCAUCCUCCCAUUGAGACAGUCCCGGCCCCCCUCGGGAGGGGAAGCACACCCCACAUAUUUUGGAGGUUUUUUUAGGAAUCUCAUUUGCGUCAUUUACACCAAGUACAAAUCUGUAUGUCAGGGGAAACGGGUGCACAUCCUCUGAAAAGAAAAUAAAACAAGACCUUUAACCUGAAAACACAUUCAGCUUUGUAUAGAGCCGUGCACAUGAACUGGUGCUGUAAAAAAAACAUCAUACAAAAAUACAGGAAACUAAUGUAGCCUUAAAGUUAGUGCUCUAUGCAAAGCAUUUUCAAAGACAUGAGAAACACUUUUUCUCAUAAUAGAACAAAAUAGUUAUCUAUCUAUGUCUGUUUGUUUCUUAACAUAUUCUUGAUUGUUACAGCCAUGGCAUUCAUUGCUUAUUUUCUGAAAGCAACCCUAUUACUCUGAGGGUUGCUUGCUUGCGCAGAAUAGUGCGCAAAAGAGAGUAGAAUAACACUGGAACUUCAAGAAGGUCUUGCCUCUCUAUCUCUUGCUUCUCAGCCAGGUAUUUGUUGAAGUAAGUAUUGUACCAUACUACUCUGUAAAAAAAACAAAAAAACAAAAACAAAAAAAACAUUAUAUACAAAUGAUAGGUUUACAUGACUUAUCUCUUAAUGAAAGUGUAUUUGAAUUGCAUCGUAAGUGUAGAAUAAAUGAAGGAACUGCAUUGCACCCAGACCUGUCAAUCUCAGAAGACAUGUAUACUAGAGCCUUGUAAUUUUCUUUUCUUCUCACCCUCUUCCCCAGACUGUUAGUAAUAGCGGGUCGAGACCACUGCAUAGAAAGGCCAACAAAGUGGAAAAGCGCAUCGCUUUUUUGAGUGACGGUGGGAGGGGAAGGUGAAUGGUGCAAGGUUGUACUUGUGUGUUGGGGAGCUUUUGAAAAGCGUUUCCUGACAGGUGGUGCUAUGGAGACUUGCUGAGUGCACUUGUACUUGACACUGUGUAGCUUGCUGACACCGGGGUGACAUAAUGUUCUGCUACUUGUAAGCGAUGCAGGGUCCUGAAAAAAACAUCCCGCUCAGAAAGGAGGGGGAAAGAAAAUGAUUUAGAGAGAGGCUUGGGGUGGGAAGGGGGUAUACAGAGGCUCCUGCAGCCUCAGUAAGCACUGAAGAGCCUUCUUAACUUGACAAUACGAAUUAGCCAAAGAACGAUGACAGCCCUGCAGAUUUAACACCUUCUAAUCACAAAAGACAAGUAGCCAUUCUCGUCCCCUUCAAGAAAAAAAGUCCUAAUGAAGCAAGCUAAGAUAAGAGUCAAUAGAGCAAUUCAUUAACAAAUCUAGCAAAAUCCCUUGGGCGCCACGGCAAGAUGGCAGGGAAGGUGGGUGUGUUUGUGAAAGCCCUCCUCCAGAAUAGAUGCCCAUAUGCUAAGGGUCAGGGAGCCAGGCAGCUUUGCUCUAUUUAACAUUCACCAAACACAUAUGGCAGUUAAGGUCACUGUUAUCAGACACUUUCUCUGUACACAAAACUACAUUUCCAUAUGGUCCAUGAAAAUGGAUAUACUGUGCUCCCCAGCAGCUUCCCACGGCUCUUUCUUUGUGCGGCGCUGGUUACAAGUGAGAGGGAGAGUAGAGAGGUUAGCUCACCAGUCAAGUGCACUCAUGGCUUUGCACGUCACUCCAAUUUAGGGGAAAUUUCCGUCACUUUCUUUCUCCCCCCCCCCAACUCCUCUCUCUCUCUCUCUCUCUCAGGCACAAAUGCUCAUGUCAGUCUAUUAGAACGUGAUGGAAGUACUGAUCACUGCCUCUGAAUUUAAAGCCUUUUGAAACUCGGAUGACCUGCUGAAAAGGAUUUCGAGUAGAGGGCCCUUCACAUGACUCUUUCAAAUCCACAUAAAUAAAGCUCUUUACAGGCUGAAAAUGCCUCUCAGAUUUAGCAAUACAGAGCCCCCUGAAAAGCACAACACGAUUGUCAUGGAUAUUACACGACUGGAACAACAACAGGCCAAGGAGACAAGUGUCGAUCCUGAACAAAACUAGAGCAGACUUUUUCACGAGCUGGGCCGUGGAAUGUUGACAGCCCAGUAAAUGGCCUGGUUAACCUUUUGAAAGUGAAUAAAGGCUCCUGAAACAAAUGCAUUCUGAUAGACUAUACCUACUGGGAUUCAAAAAGUAUGUUUCAA